CGCUGGCGGCACGCUUAACACAUGCAAGUCGAACGGAGACAUUUGGUUUACUGAGAUGUCUUAGUGGCGGACGGGUGAGUAACACGUGAGCAACCUGCCUUCAAGAGGGGGAUAGCUUCUGGAAACGGAUGGUAAUACCCUAUAACAUAGAGACACCGCAUGGUGAUUCUAUCAAAGAUUUAUCGCUUGAAGAUGGGCUCGCGUCUGAUUAGAUAGUUGGUGAGGUAACGGCUCACCAAGUCGACGAUCAGUAGCCGGACUGAGAGGUUGAACGGCCACAUUGGGACUGAGACACGGCCUAGACUCCUACGGGAGGCAGCAGUGGGGAAUAUUGCACAAUGGGGGAAACCCUGAAUGCAGCGAUGCCGCGUGGAGGAAGAAGGUCUUCGGAUUGUAAACUCCUGUCUUAAAGGACGAUAAUGACGGUACUUUAGGAGGAAGCUCCGGCUAACUACGUGCCAGCAGCCGC
rnacentral:rRNA from 1 species